GUCUCAGUAGUCUAUAUAAGAUAUUAGCGUGUGGAGCUAAAGAAGAAAUCUCCUGGGACA
rnacentral:tRNA from 1 species